rnacentral:lncRNA from 1 species
GACCAACCAGCCCAAGGAACAUCUCACCAAUUUUAAAUCGGGGGGGAAACACUGUGGACUGGCAUGCUGCUGGCCACCACUUCCCAGCUGAAGACUCAGGAGCGCCAUGUGGAAGAACUCAUCUCACAGAUAUUGGCAAAAGCUACCAAGCAGGACUUGAUUUAUUGUUUUGUUCAUUGUCUAGACUAAGAAAGUGAUGAAAUGUUAAUAAUGGAUAAUGAUUAAUGAAAUGGAUAAUGAAAAUGAAAAAUAAUUAAUGUAAAUUAAAUGUGAAAGUGUGUCCUACUUGUAGCUGUUAUACUGUGAAUAACUUUAAGAAGAAACCUUAGUAAAUAUUCCUCCAGUUUUCAAAAAUUAUUUUCUAGUUCGGCAAAGAAGUCAUUCACAUCACUGAUAAAUGAAUGAAGUUCUAACAGAUGUCUUUAUUGAUUCACUUUUAUUUUAUUUGUUAACAUAAAUGAAAAUACAGGUGAUGUUCAUGUCAGAACACUUUCAUCAAAUGCAACCACAGUUUGGCUAUGAAUAUAGAAGCCUGGCAAAAAUCAAUAAAAGCAGUCUGUGAGAAUCAAUUGAUUAUAAGGAAUUUCCAAUAAAGAAUAUUAUAUAUGUUGUUACUUGUAAAUAGCAUGAUAUACCUUCUUUAUAUCAGAAAAGUUUAUAAUAAAGUUAUGUGUGUAUGUA